CGCACAGAGGAUAACUGAGUCCAGAAGGGACUUAAAUGGGGAAGUCAUGGUAACUAGGUCCAUAUUUACAUAUAUUUACAUUUAUUCAUUUCAACUGGUGUUUGUUUGGCAUUUGUCGAUAGGUGAUUGUUAGUUGCAACCAAGAGACAUGUGGAAAGUGCUAUAGACAUGCACCGCACACAGAUGCGACUACACUCCACACAAACAACACAGCCGCCAUACACACACGAGGUUACAAGCACUUACCACGAGUUACCAUGAGUUACCAUGAUCCUUCUGCUUACCUUCCUUCUGCCUUCAGCAGGACGAUUUCUACGCUCCGUCUCCUAGAGCGAGAAACGGAGAAGGACCAAGGACUGCAGCUCAAAAGCCCGAGUCUCUGCCUACAGUUCUGACGCCCUUCUCCCCGAGGACUCGUCCAGCUUGAAGUAAAGACACAUUUACAUGUAACAGGAAGAAGCAGCAGCAGAAAGAAAGGAGCAGCUUCGGGAUCCACACUUUGUGAAGCCACAGCUACCAGGAUGUCAGAUUUCCAAACAGUGCGAGUAAAAACCUCUGCAACUAAGAAGCCCUGAUGCACCAGGGGUCUGGAAACAAGGCGAUGAAGAUUUCAGGCUUCGGAUGCCCUGGUUCAAACGAGGUCAUUUGGUUCCCCUCGGUUUUCGCUUCACGACAAUAUUCCUCUGCAGAACAAUUCGGCGAGAAUCAGCGCCUGGGCUUCAGCGGAUCCUCGGGUCCCCUAAAGGAGCGUAGUGCUGUGGCUCAGCAUCGCAAAAUGUUAAUGAGCACAUUAAUCUGCCUUCGUGUCCGCGGCCUGAGUCGCGUUCCCACCUAG
rnacentral:lncRNA from 1 species